CCCCUCUCAAGGUCGCACUUGGAGAGUUUCCAGGAGUCUACCAAUCUCAACUUCAGGAGUGAGAGUCAAGCAGAGGCCUACCCAUUCCAUUCCUAGCUUGGGGAGUGGCUAGUGAGUGGAAGAAAAUCUGCUACAAAU